AUCAGAAUGGCUACCCUGAACCAUUCCCUCUUGUCAUGCUGGCAGCAGCCAGGCAGAUGCCCAGAAGAUAGCAAGUGCAUGGUGUUUCCUCUUUGGGAACAUCUUGUUCCGGGGACAUGGGAUACUCAGAUGUCCUGAACCAGAUGUGGGGGCUGGAAUAUUUUACAGGAAACCUUGCAAGGAUGUUCUACUGCAAAGAAGUAAAGACUGCAAGUUAGGACAUCCACUUUGAAAGCACCCCAGAUGCAGACUCACUUCAUAAAGCCUGGAUCUGUAUGGCUGUCCCCAGGAAGGUCUGGAGCUUCUGAAUUGAAAGAAACAGGAAAAAGGCAGAAGUCCAUACUAGGAGAAAAACUGUUCUCUAUAGCAUGAUAACCCUGUCAGGAAACAAGACAAAGUCCUGCAUGAUCUAAAGCUGUGGAAAACCCUGAAGUCACAAGAAAAGGCUCAUUGGCAGUUUCAGAGAAACAGGAGGAUAAAUGUAGAACUGAUCGUCCUUCCACACAAUGACACCUUAGAGAGUCUGAGAGAAAGUUCCAGAUAAAUCCACAUGC